CAUCUUUAUUUGACGUUGCUCGCUGGGACUCGCCCGUGAGCGAGAACUGGGGCAGCAGCGUUGAAACGUGUCUUCAUUCCUUGGAGCCUCAGGCCAGCAGACCCCCCGCCCCACCCAAAAGCUUGCCAAAUUUGUUUCCCCUCCACUACUCAGUUGGUCUAAUAAGAGAGAUCACAUCUACUCCCGAGACCCUGGCCUGCUCAUGUCCUUAGACCAACAUGACUAUGACCGAAAACCCAGUCUUUAUUUUGAAGACGUACAAAAAAACUAGAACUCUUGGUUCCAAAAUGAUAGCUGGUAUUAGACCAACUGGGAAAUCGCAAGAAAAUGGGCCUUUUCUGCAAGCUUUCGGGAUCAAAGUCCCUUUGUGGCGAGAGCGAGCUGGGAGCAAGCCCAAACCUCAGUUAAGACAUCCCGAGAGUGACGUGGGUGAUGAAUGUGCUGCAUCAAUGAGCUGCCUCAAAAUUAUCCAUGCAUUUUGAACGUUUGUACUAUUAUUGAUCGUAUGUUGUACAAGGGUUGAAACUAUUGUACAAACAUGCUAAUUAUCGUACACCUGGCAACACCUGGUCUCUGCUGGGGAGAGUUUGCAGGCCAGGCAGUCGCUGUUUAACAUGAGCGAAGGGAGCCUAGAGGAGAGUAACACUGCAUCCCGGGCCUGAGCCAGACAGCCCUUGGGGGCAGUUUUGCCACCCUCCGUUCUCCUACCAGCUGCCGUUUUGUGUCAAGUCUCACACUUUUCUCUCAGAGCAGCAAGGGGCACCUGUCAUCACAAAGCACAUAAACAGCAGGCAAUUUUACACCAUUACAGUGAUUUCCAUUUAAGGACCUCAAAGCAGUAUUUAAAACUUCAGUUACCUACUUCACUGGUUUAAUUCAUGCUUAAAUAGGAGCUCAGCAUCAUAAUGGUCAUGCCAAGGCAAAGAAGUUCAGUAACAUGUUCAGGUCAAACAGGCCGUGCCCAAGGCCAGAACCUGCAUCACUAGUAACAGUCCAUCACUACAAGUUAUAUUGGACAGCUUCAUAAAGGGCUGCACCUUUCCUCUAAAAUUCCUAGAGCAGUGGUUCUCAAACUUUUUUUUUUUUGCAGACCACUUGAAAAUUGUUGAGGAUCUCAGCUAAACUUUUUUUCAUUCUACAAAUCAAAGCACGCAACUCAUAUUUUAAUAUCAGCUGUCUUACAAGUACAGAUAUUCUUGAUUGUUCCGCAGCCUUUCUGCAGAUCACCUGAAUGGAGCACGCGGACCAGUGGUGGCCCCCAGACCAGUUUGAGAACCUCUGUCCUAGAGGAUGCACAAGAUUAAGUGCUACUUCUGCUGGUGCCUGAUCUGGAUAUCUGCUUACAAGGAGGGGACAGAAAACUAAGAACUCAUUCCAGACAAGUCACAAAACUGCCAUUGACCAUAACAACUAUUGGUCGGGAUCUAUUUAAAUUCAUGAUUUCACAGAAACCACAAAAUCUGCAAUUGUCUGUGAAACCAACAACAAUAAAAUGCUGGCUCCCCAGUGGGAGCCAGUGGUCCUU